rnacentral:rRNA from 1 species
AGUCGAACGAUGAAGCCCAGCUUGCUGGGUGGAUUAGUGGCGAACGGGUGAGUAACACGUGAGUAACCUGCCCUUAACUCUGGGAUAAGCCUGGGAAACUGGGUCUAAUACCGGAUAGGAGCGCCUACCGCAUGGUGGGUGUUGGAAAGAUUUAUCGGUUUUGGAUGGACUCGCGGCCUAUCAGCUUGUUGGUGAGGUAAUGGCUCACCAAGGCGACGACGGGUAGCCGGCCUGAGAGGGUGACCGGCCACACUGGGACUGAUACACGGCCCAGACUCCUACGGGAGGCAGCAGUGGGGAAUAUUGCACAAUGGGGGCAAGCCUGAUGCAGCGACGCCGCGUGAGGGAUGACGGCCUUCGGGUUGUAAACCUCUUUCAUUAGGGAAGAAGCGAAAGUGACGGUACCUGCAGAAGAAGCACCGGCUAACUACGUGCCAGCAGCCGCGGUAAUACGUAGGGUGCGAGCGUUAUCCGGAAUUAUUGGGCGUAAAGAGCUCGUAGGCGGUUUGUCGCGUCUGUCGUGAAAGUCCGGGGCUUAACCCCGGAUCUGCGGUGGGUACGGGCAGACUACAGUGCACUAAGGGAGACUGGAAUUCCUGGUGUAGCGGUGGAAUGCGUAGAUAUCAGGAGGAACACUGAUGGCAAAUGCAGGUCUCUGGGCUGUAACUGACGCUGACGAGCGAAAGCAUGUGUAAGCGAACAUGAUUAGAUAUCCUGGUAGUCCAUGCCGUAAACGUUGGGCACUACGUGUGGGGACCAAUCCACAGUUUCCGCGCCGCAUCUAACGCAUUAAGUGCCCCGCCUGGGGAGUACGGCCGCAAGACUAUAAAUCAUAGAAAUAGACGGGGGCCCGCACAACAGGCGGAGCAUGCGGAGUAAUUCGAUGCAACGCGAAGAACCUCAUCAAGGCUUGACAUGUUCUCGAUCGCCGUAGAGAUACGGUUUCCCCUUUGGGGCGGGUUCACAGGUGGUGCAUGGUUGUUGUCAGCUCGUGUCGUGAGAUGUUGGGUUAAGUCCCGCAACGAGCGCAACCCUCGUUCCAUGUUGCCAGCACGUAAUGGUGGGGACUCAUGGGAGACUGCCGGGGUCAACUCGGAGGAAGGUGAGGAGGACGUCAAAUCAUCAUGCCCCCUAUGUCUUGGGCUUCACGCAUGCUACAAUGGCCGGUACAAUGGGUUGAGAUACUGUGAGGUGGAGCUAAUCCCAAAAAGCCGGUCUCAGUUCGGAUUGGGGUAGGCAACUCGACCCCAUGAAGUCGGAGUCGCUAGUAAUCGCAGAUCAGCAACGCUGCGGUGAAUACGUUCCCGGGCCUUGUACACACCGCCCGUCAAGUCACGAAAGUCGGUAACACCCGAAGCCGGUGGCGCUAACCCUUG